AUCAGAGCCGGCCCAAGCUAUAUGACUCGGCACGAGAUACAAUUAUUUUGCAGUGCACAACUCGAUAAUAACCGAGUCUAGGCAAAACAUGGCAGACGCCAGACAGCAGGUAACAAGACAAAACUUAAUACAUUGUUAAAACUAUUUAAGUGAUUUUGGUCUGGCUGACUGUUGUUGUCUCGGGGCAGCAGCUCAUCAUCCCAGCAAAGUCGAAGACAAUACUUCAGAGAGCUUAAGACAGCGAAGGCAGAGAACUAAAAUGUAAUUUCCAUCACGCUCACAAGAAUAUCUUGGUUGUUGCUCACUCUGGCCCUGGUUGUGCAGUAGAGGAAACUGCUGCUCAGGAACAUGGGAAGUCAGGCUUGUAACAAGGAUCAAACUAUUGGUCAAAACAUUUGUCUCUCAAUCCAUGGCUCACAUUCCUGCAAGGGCCAGUUGAGAUGUGACUGCUCCUCCAAAUUAGCAUUCAAGAAACCUGCUUCUGGUGAUGACUCAUUCUUAGGUUCCUGCCAGUUGAGAUGUGACUGCUCCUCCAAAUUAGCAUUCAAUAAACCUGCUACUGGUGAUGUCUCAUUCAUAUGUUCCUGCCAGUUGAGAUGUGACUGGUCCUUCAAAUUAGCAUUCAAGAAACUUGCUCCUCCUAGUGAUGUAUCAUUGGUAGGUUCCUGCCUGUUGAUAUGUGACUGGUCCUUCAAAUU
rnacentral:misc_RNA from 1 species